UUGAUUGACCGCAAAGGCUUUCCGUUCGGCCUGUCACGCCGGAGGUCGCGGGUUCGAGCCCCGUCACUCGCGCCA
rnacentral:tRNA from 1 species